ensembl:lncRNA
ACUCCUCUCCCUCUCCCUCACAUUCAUCUCUCUCUCUCCCUCCCUCUCAGACUCCUCUCUCCCUCUCCCUCUCCCUCUCCCUCUCCCUCACCCUCACAUUCAUCUCUCUCUCUCCCUCCCUCUCAGACUCCUCUCUCCCUCUCCCUCACAUUCAUCUCUCUCUCUCUCCCUCCCUCUCAGACUCCUCUCUCCCUCUCCCUCACAUUCAUCUCUCUCUCUCUCUCUCUCUCUCUCUCUCUCUCUCUCUCUCUCUCUCCCUCUCAGACUCCUCUCUCCCUCUCCCUCACAUUCAUCUCUCUCUCUCUCUCUCUCUCUCUCUCUCUCUCUCUCUCUCUCAUCCCCUCUGCUCUGUCUCUCUCCAUUCCAUAACCACUUAAGGAGAAAACAUCCUUUUGGGGAUUUUUAUAAUGUUUGUUUUGUGAUUUUUCUGUAGGAUGUUUUUUUGUUGCCCAACCCUUUCACUUUUUCUAUUAAUUAGUUUUUAAUGAACUUCAUCAUGUCACUUAGGGACUUCCUGUUCCCUAAUGUUGUUCACUACCCACAUAGGGCUUUGGUCAAAAGUAGUGCACUAUAUUGGGAAUAGGGUGCCAUUUUGACAAGCCAAGGUAACUGGAAGACACAGGGUUGUUGACGGAGAAUAAAACAAAAGGCAUCCAUGGAAGACAGAGACAUUAUUUAUGUUGGAUAUCGUUUAUACUGUUCGUGGUGACAGUUGUUACUCACAUUUACACACAGCAAUCUGCUUUGUUCCAAAUGACAUGUUGUACUUUCUCCUGACAAAACGUCCUGAUUUGAGAAGGUAAAAGAAACCUCGGCAAUAAAGACACUGGUGACUUUCUAACGUCCACACAACGUUCACACCACGUUAAAGACACAACGUUCACACAACGUUAAAGACACAACGUUACCGACCCUGAACCCAUCCCCUCUGCCGGACCCCCUGGACACUGCUGCUCUACUACGCUUCUGACCUUUGAACUGUCACCUUUGACCUGUCCACUGUCUCCCUCACCUCACUGCUGUGAUUGGCUAUCAGAGGCAUCGGGAUGAGCUGUGGUUGGUCGAUCGAUCAGGGUGGGGAACGGGGG